ensembl:lncRNA
AUGACUUUAGCACGGGUAGCGUAUUAGCGUUGACAUAUGAACUGUGGCUGUGGAUCUGGUGGCAAUAAAACCGUCCACCAACUGUAGAUUGUUUUUGUUUCUCAGAAACCACCCAUGUCCCGUGCACUUUUCCCACCUCGUCCAGCUAUUCACAAUAAGACUCAGCCUAGACUCCCUCUAACCAAAAACCAAGGUUUCCCAGGAGCUCCCAAGACAUCUUUUGCACCACCAGAGAGACACCUGGAAGCUAGACCUGACCCCCGCUCCAAUGAGCCUCAAUGGCCACAGUUCCCACUGGACGGAGGAAACAGUAUUAGAAAUGCUUCCUCUCAUCUCGUGGACCUCCCUCCUGCCCCCUCCCAACUCCUGCCCACCAAAACCCCCAGUACCUCCUCUGCCACCCCUGUCCUUAACAACCCCUCUCCACCCGGUGAAAAGCAACAGGGAAAGACCCAACCCAGGGGACCUACUAGCGCCACAGUGAAGCCACAUAACCAUUCCUCUGCUCUCAGCGAAUCACAGAAAGGAGCAUCACUGCUAACCCCC